rnacentral:rRNA from 1 species
GUGGGGAAUAUUGGGCAAUGGGCGAAAGCCUGACCCAGCAACGCCGCGUGAAGGAAGAAGGUUUUCGGAUCGUAAACUUCUAUCCUUGGUGAAGAUAAUGACGGUAGCCAAGAAGGAAGCCCCGGCUAACUACGUGCCAGCAGCCGCGGUAAUACGUAGGGGGCAAGCGUUGUCCGGAAUGAUUGGGCGUAAAGGGCGCGUAGGCGGCCCGGUAAGUCUGAAGUGAAAGUCCUGCUUUUAAGGUGGGAAUUGCUUUGGAUACUGUCGGGCUUGAGUGCAGGAGAGGUAAGCGGAAUUCCCGGUGUAGCGGUGAAAUGCGUAGAGAUCGGGAGGAACACCAGUGGCGAAGGCGGCUUACUGGACUGUAACUGACGUUGAGGCGCGAAAGUGUGGGGAGCAAACAGGAUUAGAAACCCGAGUAGUCC